AUUGAACGCUGGCGGCAGGCCUAACACAUGCAAGUCGAGCGCGAAAGCACUUCGGUGUGAGUAAAGCGGCGGACGGGUGAGUAACGCGUAGGAAUCUACCUAGUAGUGGGGGACAACUCGGGGAAACUCGAGCUAAUACCGCAUACGCCCUACCGGGGGAAGCGGGGGACCUUCGGGCCUCGUGCUAUUAGAUGAGCCUGCGUUGGAUUAGCUAGUUGGUGGGGUAAUGGCCUACCAAGGCGACGAUCCAUAGCUGGUCUGAGAGGAUGAUCAGCCACACCGGGACUGAGACACGGCCCGGACUCCUACGGGAGGCAGCAGUGGGGAAUAUUGCGCAAUGGGCGAAAGCCUGACGCAGCCAUGCCGCGUGUGUGAAGAAGGCCUUCGGGUUGUAAAGCACUUUCAAUUGGGAGGAAAGGUUCACGGUUAAUAACCGUGAGCUGUGACGUUACCUUUAGAAGAAGCACCGGCUAACUCCGUG
rnacentral:rRNA from 1 species